rnacentral:rRNA from 1 species
UACGUAGGGUGCAAGCGUUAAUCGGAAUUACUGGGCGUAAAGCGCACGUAGGCGGAUUGUUAAGUCGGGGGUGAAAGCCCGAGGCUCAACCUCGGAACUGCCCUCGAUACUGCAAAUCUCGAGUCCGAGAGAGGUGAGUGGAAUUCCUAGUGUAGAGGUGAAAUUCGUAGAUAUUAGGAAGAACACCAGUGGCGAAGGCGGCUCGACUGGCUCGUACUGACGC